rnacentral:lncRNA from 1 species
GAACGAUCCUAGGUGCUUCCUACGUAGCUUAGGUGCUACAAUAGAUCACCGGGUGGGAACUAACUUCGCUAGAAAACGGGCUGUUGAUAUCACUAUACCCGAGCCUAUGUUUCCUCUCCACAUGUUAUCGGGUCUGAUACAAUCGAUCAUGCAUUGUCUUUUCGACUCGCCCUGCACCAGCUCAGUUCCAGGUUCCCCUUCUAGGAGCACGCCUAUAGCCCGAGUGAUGGCUGCUGGCGACAUUAGACAGACCCUCUUGUCAAGGAUCUGCCAAAUAGUUCUUUCCCUUAUCUCCUCCCAGCGCGGACAUUCUUCUAGAAGGC